rnacentral:rRNA from 1 species
CGAUAAGAUGGAAACGGAUAGAGCCGACGUAUCUUGCCUGUAUUCAGCCGAAAGGUUGCUUCUCUAUGGCUUGUUGGUCCCGUUUUGGGCUAAUUGGCUUGUGUUGAGGUGAUCUGGCGGUGCAUUUACAGGUAGUGUGCGCUGAAUCUCACACUAUGCAGCAGUUGGAAAAGUGUUUUGAGGUCUCCUUUCACGAGGAGAAACCCUGAUGCUUGAAAGAUUGAUUGCUGUGUGCGUUCGAAGAGUAUGUUUGAUUGAAUCGCCAUUUGGUUUUUGUCUGAGUUUUGGUCGCAUGCGACCUUGCUUUGAUGGGCUCCAAUUGGUGGCUAGAUCCCGUAUUCGUAUUCAGUGUAAAAGUCGGUCUUCUCUCCGACCCGUCUUGAAACACGGACCAAGGAGUUUAGCAAGUAUGCGAGUCAUUGAGUGUAAAACUCAAAGGCAUAAUGAAAGUAAAGGCUUCGCUUGUCGAGCUUAUAUGUGAUCCAGCUAGCUUCGGCUGGUUGGAGCAACAUAGCCCCGUUUCAACUGCUUGCAGUGAGGCGGAGGAAGAGCAUACUUGCUGAGACCCGAAAGAUGGUGAACUAUGCCUGAGCAGGACGAAGCCAGAGGAAACUCUGGUGGAAGUCCGGAGCG